rnacentral:rRNA from 1 species
GAACGUGAACGGGGGCAACUCCUAGUAAAGUGGCGCACGGGUGAGUAACGCGUAGGUAAUCUACCAAAGUGUCUGGAAUAACCUGCCGAAAGGCGGGCUAAUACUGGAUAGAGCGACGGAAUCCGUAAUUGGGUUUUUCGGGAAAGGGAGGGAGCAAUCCCCCUUGCUUUGGGAUGAGCCUGCGUCCCAUCAGCUAGUUGGUAAGGUAACGGCUUACCAAGGCGAUGACGGGUAGCUGGUCUGAGAGGAUGAUCAGCCACACUGGAACUGAAACACGGUCCAGACUCCUACGGGAGGCAGCAGUGGGGAAUCUUGCGCAAUGGACGAAAGUCUGACGCAGCCACGCCGCGUGAGUGAAGAAGGCCUUCGGGUUGUAAAGCUCUGUCGCCCGGGACGAAAAUUUUUGAGGUUAACAGCCUCAGAAACUGACGGUACCGGGAGAGGAAGCACCGGCUAACUCUGUG